rnacentral:rRNA from 1 species
GACGAACGCUGGCGGCGUGCUUAACACAUGCACGCCGAACGAUCAAACGGUGCCUGCUCUGCGGAUUAGUGGCGAACGGGUGAGUAACACCGGGGCAACCUGCCCCAGACCCCGGGAUAACCAUUGGAAACGAUGGCUACUACCGGAUACGACCACUCCGGGCAUCCGAUCCUUGUGGAAAGGAUCCUGGUCUGUGACGGGCCCGCGGCCUAUCAGCUUGGUGGUGGGGUAAUGGCCUACCAAGGCGACGACGGGUAGCCGGCCUGAGAGGGCGACCGGCCACACUGGGACUGAGCCACGGCCCAGACUCCUACGGGAGGCAGCAGUGGGAAUUUUGGACAAUGGGGGCAACCCUGAUCCAGCCAUGCCGGGUGAGUGAAGAAGGCCUUCGGGUUGUAAAGCUCUUUCGGCCGGGAAGAAAUCGCACGGGCUAAUACCCUGUGUGGAUGACGGUACCGGAAUAAGAAGCACCGGCUAACUAC